UGGUAGAUCUAGAUAGAAAAAAAUCAUUUGUCUUUAUAAGAGAAUCUUAAAUUCACCAAAAUAACUACAUUGAUUUAACAUCCAAAUUGCAGAAUUUAAUGACCAAAUCCUAUGUCUAAGUGGGGUAACAAUUGACCAAAAUCAUCUUUGUCAUCUUUUGGGGAGUUUGAGGACAAAGAAGACAGAGAAGAAACUUCAGGUAGCAUGUUGAAUUCUUGCUACUGUUGUAUGGUGUAAAUUUUGGAAGAAAAAUUUCAUUGGGAAAGAGAGACUUCUUUACAACCUGGUCACGCUCUCACUGACUAUGCUCUCAUCUUCGCCUCCUUCACUGGCCAAGGGGUUCUCCAAGCUCUCCUAGUGAAGGUACCUAUGGUGGUACCUUUGAAGGCCUAGUUUGGGCCCGAUCCACUCUACCGGCAGGUAAUCGCU
rnacentral:lncRNA from 1 species